rnacentral:tRNA from 1 species
GUCUGUAUAGAUUAUGUAAAUCAUGAUGCUGUUAACUUCAAGAAAUGGAUGUUUGCCAUUAUAGUCG